UGGGGGAUAUUGCACAAUGGGGGGAACCCUGAUGCAGCGACGCCGCGUGAGUGAAGAAGUAUUUCGGUAUGUAAAGCUCUAUCAGCAGGGAAGAAGAAAGACGGUACCUGAGUAAGAAGCCCCGGCUAACUACGUGCCAGCAGCCGCGGUAAUACGUAGGGGGCAAGCGUUAUCCGGAUUUACUGGGUGUAAAGGGAGCGUAGACGGUAUGGCAAGUCUGAAGUGAAAGCCCCGGGCUCAACCUGGGAAUUGCUUUGGAAACUGUUAAACUAGAGUGCUGGAGAGGCAGGCGGAAUUCCUAGUGUAGCGGUGAAAUGCGUAGAUAUUAGGAGGAACACCAGUGGCGAAGGCGGCCUGCUGGACAGUAACUGACGUUGAGGCUCGAAAGCGUGGGGAGCAA
rnacentral:rRNA from 1 species